rnacentral:lncRNA from 1 species
ACAAGAAGCUCACCCAGCUGGAACUCUUAUGGGACCUUGGCACCAGAGACCACAAAUUCCUCUUUGAAGUUUUCUAACAGCAACAAUGGUAUUUCUGACUUGGCUUUCUUGUAUUUCUCUCACGUUAACAAAAUUGGUUCAGCAUCUACCAUGGGCUACAUGCUGAGCUACAGACAGAGUUUCGCUCUGUCGCCCAGGCUGGAGUGCAGUGGCGCGCGAUCUCGGUUCACUGCAAGCUCCACCUCCCGGGUUCACGCCAUUCUCCUGCCUCAGCCUCCUGAGUAGCUGGGACUACAGGCGCCCGCCACCACACCCAGGAAUCCAACUUGCUGUUUGCUAUCACAUGUGCUAUACAUGCUGUUGAUGAAACUGCUAAAGGGGCUGAAUGUGACUGACGUCUUUGGAAGGAUGAGACUUAGCGUGCCUGUACAGUUGUGUCCAAAUGCUGUCCUCAUCUCCCAAUGAAAAGCCUCACAACAAUUUACAGCAUUGCCAGCAGCAUUCAGUACAUUCAGAACAGGAUAAUUUCACCCGCAGCUGAACUAGGGCCAUGCCUGGGACAGACAGAGAAUGGCCUUCCAGCAGACAUGCCAAGAAGCAAGCCAGGGUCAGUGAGUGAAGAGGAGGGCAGGCCCAUUUGAAGCAACACAGUUUAUAGCUGUGGCAAUUCCUUGAACCACACUGAUUGCUAUAAAGUGGAAGAGGAAUAGAUUGAAUUUUGGGGAGUCAACUACAAUGUGUACUACAGGAACAAAACCCAUCAGAAGAUGUCAGAAGAUAAGGAUUUUUGUCCUGAUGCUACACUUACCAGCUGUCCCUCAGUGUUCUACUUCUUAAAAAAAGAGAGAUGGAUAAACAGAGGCAACCCGAGGAUAAAGGCCUUGCUCAGUGUCACACAUUUCAGUCACUAAAUAAGACACAAUGGAUGCCAGUAUUCUCAUCCCCUCACAAAUAAAGAGCCUUCAAGCUCUUGCAGUCAACAAGAACUUUUGGAAUGAUUUCACUGCCUGAAAAGGCAGAUACAUAGGUGACACCCACAAAUAGGAAGAAAAUCAACCUGAACCUGAGUGUGUGGGCUCACUGACUCUAAGCAGUAGAGACAGAAGAAAAAGUUUUAGCAAAGAAGGGUUCUGAAAGAAAAUAAAUAUAGCUCGUUAUCAAGUGCUGUUUUUACACAGUAAAACAUGGGCAAAAUUACUCUUCUUUAAGUAGUAAUUCUUAUCUCUUGAUUAAGUCACCUACUCAUUCAUUUAAUAAAUACAUACUGAUUGUUUUCUA